rnacentral:rRNA from 1 species
AUUGAACGCUAGCGGGAUGCUUUACACAUGCAGGUCGAACGGCAGCGCGGACUUCGGUCUGGCGGCGAGUGGCGAACGGGUGAGUAAUGUAUCGGAACGUGCCCAGUAGCGGGGGAUAACUACGCGAAAGCGUAGCUAAUACCGCAUACGCCCUACGGGGGAAAGCAGGGGAUCGUAAGACCUUGCACUAUUGGAGCGGCCGAUAUCGGAUUAGCUAGUUGGUGAGGUAACGGCUCACCAAGGCGACGAUCCGUAGCUGGUUUGAGAGGGCGACCAGCCACACUGGGACUGAGACACGGCCCAGACUCCUACGGGAGGCAGCAGUGGGGAAUUUUGGACAAUGGGGGCAACCCUGAUCCAGCCAUCCCGCGUGUGAGAUGAAGGCCUUCGGGUUGUAAAGCACGUUUGGCAGGAAAGAAACGUCGCGGGCUAAUACCCCGUGGAACUGACGGUACCUGCAGAAUAAGCACCGGCUAACUACGUG